AACGAACGCUGGCGGCAUGCCUAACACAUGCAAGUCGAACGAGACCUUCGGGUCUAGUGGCGCACGGGUGCGUAACGCGUGGGAACCUGCCCUUAGGUUCGGAAUAACUCCCCGAAAGGGGUGCUAAUACCGGAUAAUGUCUUCGGACCAAAGAUUUAUCGCCUUUGGAUGGGCCCGCGUUGGAUUAGCUAGUUGGUAGGGUAAAAGCCUACCAAGGCGACGAUCCAUAGCUGGUCUGAGAGGAUGAUCAGCCACACUGGGACUGAGACACGGCCCAGACUCCUACGGGAGGCAGCAGUGGGGAAUAUUGGACAAUGGGCGAAAGCCUGAUCCAGCAAUGCGGCGUGAGUGAUGAAGGCCUUAGGGUUGUAAAGCUCUUUUACCCGGGAUGAUAAUGACAGUACCGGGAGAAUAAGCGCCGGCUAACUCCGUG
rnacentral:rRNA from 1 species